AACGCACAUUGCGCCCCUCGGUAUUCCGGGGGGCAUGCCUGUUCGAGCGUCAUUAACCCAAAUCAAGCCCCGGCUUGGAGAUUGGGCGGUCAGGCCGGAGGCCCCUCGGGGCGCCGGCCCGCCCCAAAGUCAUCGGCGAGGUGAUCGACCCCCGGCGUGUUAGCGUGUCCCCUCAAAAGGUACGACGUCGGGAGCACCGGUCCAGGCCUCGGCCGCGAAAGCACCAAAUCAUAACAAGGUUGACCUCGGAUCAGGUAGGAAUACCCGCUGAACUUAA
rnacentral:misc_RNA from 1 species